rnacentral:rRNA from 1 species
GUAGGGAAUAUUGGACAAUGGGCGAAAGCCUGAUCCAGCCAUGCCGCGUGAUAGAUGAAGGCCCUCUGGGUUGUAAAUAUCUUUUAUCUGGGAAGAAACUCCUCUAUUCUUAGAGGCCUGACGGUACCAGAGGAAUAAGCACCGGCUAACUCCGUGCCAGCAGCCGCGGUAAUACGGAGGGUGCAAGCGUUAUCCGGAUUCACUGGGUUUAAAGGGUGCGUAGGCGGGUUGAUAAGUCAGUGGUGAAAGCUCCGGGCUUAACUUGGAACCUGCCAUUGAUACUGUCAGUCUUGAAUGUCGUAGAGGUAAGCGGAAUGUUGCAUGUAGCGGUGAAAUGCUUAGAUAUGUUACAGAACACCAAUUGCGAAGGCAGCUUACUAUUCGAUAAUUGACGCUGAGGCACGAAAGCGUGGGGAGCAAACAGGAUUAGAAACCCGGGUAGUCC